rnacentral:misc_RNA from 7 species
GGAGGGAUCAUUACAAGUGACCCCGGUCUAACCACCGGAUGGUUCAUAACCCUUUGUUGUCCGACUCUGUUGCCUCCGGGGCGACCCUGCCUUCGGGCGGGGGCUCCGGGUGGACACUUCAAACUCUUGCGUAACUUUGCAGUCUGAGUAAACUUAAUUAAUAAAUUAAAACUUUUAACAACGGAUCUCUUGGUUCUGGCAUCGAUGAAGAACGCAGCGAAAUGCGAUAAGUAAUGUGAAUUGCAGAAUUCAGUGAAUCAUCGAAUCUUUGAACGCACAUUGCGCCCCCUGGUAUUCCGGGGGGCAUGCCUGUUCGAGCGUCAUUUCACCACUCAAGCCUCGCUUGGUAUUGGGCAACGCGGUCCGCCGCGUGCCUCAAAUCGACCGGCUGGGUCUUCUGUCCCCUAAGCGUUGUGGAAACUAUUCGCUAAAGGGUGUUCGGGAGGCUACGCCGUAAAACAACCCCAUUUCUAAGGUUGACCUCGGAUCAGGUAGGGAUACCCGCUGAACUUAA